rfam:Pteropus alecto contig75606, whole genome shotgun sequence.
GGGAAAUUAUCAAUGUCUACUGAUUGACUCAAUACAAUAUUCCUCAUACAAGUUUGUAGAAAAUCAAGAAAGAGCAUCUUCCACAAGGAUGAGGUGCAGAGUUCUCCCCUGAGAGUGAAGCCAGCUGUUGGUGUUGUUUUGCUGCAAAUACCAUUUUCCAUUGAUGAGCUUUCUUCUCUUCCUUUGUGAGAGGUUUUUGAAAAAAUAGCAGGAGGGGA